UGCAGAAUCCCAUGAACCAUCGAGUUUUUGAACGCAAUUGCGCCCUAGGCCACCAGGCCAAGGGCACACCUGCCUGGGCAUCACGU
rnacentral:rRNA from 1 species